rnacentral:rRNA from 1 species
AACGAACGCUGGCGGCAGGCUUAACACAUGCCAGUCGAACGCCCCGCCCGGGGAGUGGCAGACGGGUGAGUAACGCGUGGGAACAUACCCUUUUCUACGGAAUAGCUCUGGGAAACUGGAAUUAAUACCGUAUACGCCCUACGGGGGAAAGAUUUAUCGGGGAAGGAUUGGCCCGCGUUGGAUUAGCUAGUUGGUGGGGUAAAGGCCUACCAAGGCGACGAUCCAUAGCUGGUCUGAGAGGAUGAUCAGCCACAUUGGGACUGAGACACGGCCCAAACUCCUACGGGAGGCAGCAGUGGGGAAUAUUGGACAAUGGGCGCAAGCCUGAUCCAGCCAUGCCGCGUGAGUGAUGAAGGCCUUAGGGUUGUAAAGCUCUUUCACCGAUGAAGAUAAUGACGGUAGUCGGAGAAGAAGCCCCGGCUAACUUCGUG